GCUCAAAUUUCUAUUACAUAUUAGGCAAGAACAACAACACCUGAAAAUUCCCAAAUAAAGCUCUGAGAGGAUUACUAAGAGAAACUAACAAAAUGCAGAAAAAGUCAUAUUUCACAAUCCUACAAGUGGUGGCAAAGCUUAAAACAAAGAAGGGCAUUGAAAAUAUAAUAAAAAUGUUAAACACACCCCUCCAGCUUCAUCUUUGGGUAAAUC
rnacentral:misc_RNA from 1 species